rnacentral:rRNA from 1 species
UACUAGAGUAGCACUCGCAUAUCAAUAAGCGGAGGAAAAGAGACUAACAAGGAUUCCCCUAGUAACGGCGAGUGAAGCGGGAAGAGCUCAAAUUUGAAAUCUUAAAGGGUUUCCCUUUACGAAUUGUAGUUUAAAGAAGUGUUUUCUGUUGAGGUUUUGGUAAAAGUUCUUUGGAAUAGGACAUCAUAGAGGGUGAGAAUCCCGUAUUUGACCUUUACUUUCAACUUUGUGAUACACUUUCAAAGAGUCGGAUUGUUUGGGAAUGCAGUCCAAAAUGGGUGGUAAAUUUCAUCUAAAGCUAAAUAUUGGCGAGAGACCGAUAGCGAACAAGUACCGUGAGGGAAAGAUGAAAAGAACUUUGAAAAGAGAGUUAAACAGUACGUGAAAUUGUCAAAAGGGAAGCGUUUGACACCAGUGUUGUUUUUCUGAAAAUCAAUUAAAGAACUGUUUAUGCUAAGUUGUUUAGACUUUAUCAGCUAACCGUUUAGUUUUGAGCUUUUCUUUAAUGCACUUUUCAGUUAACAAGUCAACAUCAAUUUCUUUUGCUGUAAAAAAGCUUGAGGAAGGUGGCUUGAGAUUCGUCUUAAGUGUUUAUAGCCUCUUGCCUAUGCAGUCGGAGAGAUUGAGGUCUGCAGCGUAGAUCCUUCGGGGCUAAAUGCAUUUGUGCUAAGUCAUAGCAUUUUAUAGACAACUUGUUGACUAUGAUUUGUCUUGUAGCUUACUCGCUUAUGUUAUUUUACCUACGCUUAGGAUGUUGAACUACUGAGACAUAGA